rnacentral:snRNA from 1 species
GCUCGCUUCGGCAGCAUAUACUAAAAUUGGAACGACACAGAGAAGAUUGGCAUGGCCCCUGCGCAAGGAUGACACGCAAAUUCGUGAAGCGUUCCAUAUUUUA